rnacentral:rRNA from 1 species
CAAGUCGAACGGGAAAGGACUCUUCGGAGUCCGAGUAGAGUGGCGAACGGGUGAGUAACGCGUGGGUGAUCUACCCUUGGGCGGGGGAUAACCCGGGGAAACUCGGGCUAAUACCGCAUAAGCCUGGGAUUGUAAGGGAUUUCAGGGAAAGUUUCCGGAUGCCGAAGGAGGAGCCCGCGUCCGAUUAGCUAGUUGGUGAGGUAAGAGCUCACCAAGGCGACGAUCGGUAGCCGGUCUGAGAGGACGGACGGUCACACUGGGACUGAGACACGGCCCAGACUCCUACGGGAGGCAGCAGUGGGGAAUUUUGGGCAAUGGGCGAAAGCCUGACCCAGCAACGCCGCGUGGAGGAUGAAGGUUUUCGGAUCGUAAACUCCUGUCUAGAGGGACGAAGGAAGUGACGGUACCUCUGGAGGAAGCCCCGGCUAACUCCGUGCCAGCAGCCGCGGUAAUACGGGGGGGGCAAGCGUUGUUCGGAAUUACUGGGCGUAAAGGGCGCGUAGGCGGUUUCGGAAGUCAUGGGUGAAAGUCCUCGGCUCAACCGAGGGAUUGCCUGUGAAACCACGGGACUGGAGUGCUGGAGAGGGAAGCGGAAUUCCCAGUGUAGCGGUGAAAUGCGUAGAUAUUGGGAGGAACAUCUGUGGCGAAGG